GACGAACGCUGGCGGCGUGCUUAACACAUGCAAGUCGAACGGAAAGGCCCUGCUUUUGUGGGGUGCUCGAGUGGCGAACGGGUGAGUAUCACGUGAGUAACCUGCCCUUGACUUUGGGAUAACUUCAGGAAACUGGGGCUAAUACCGGAUAGGAGCUCCUGCUGCAUGGUGGGGGUUGGAAAGUUUCGGCGGUUGGGGAUGGACUCGCGGCUUAUCAGCUUGUUGGUGGGGUAGUGGCUUACCAAGGCUUUGACGGGUAGCCGGCCUGAGAGGGUGACCGGCCACAUUGGGACUGAGAUACGGCCCAGACUCCUACGGGAGGCAGCAGUGGUGAAUAUUGCACGAUGGGCGGAGGCCUGAUGCAGCAACGCCGCGUGCGGGAUGACGGCCUUCGGGUUGUAAACCGCUUUCGCCUGUGACGAAGCGUGAGUGACGGUAAUGGGUAAAGAAGCACCGGCUAACUACGUG
rnacentral:rRNA from 1 species